rnacentral:ncRNA from 1 species
ACACGAUAAUGGCAAACUUAUUGAAAGAUAAGGACGCAAAGCCACGGAUCUAAGGUUAUAUAGUAACUAUGAUCGCCGGGUUACCGAA